UUAAGCGACUAAGCGUACACGGUGGAUGCCCUGGCAGUCAGAGGCGAUGAAGGACGUGCUAAUCUGCGAUAAGCGUCGGUAAGGUGAUAUGAACCGUUAUAACCGGCGAUUUCCGAAUGGGGAAACCCAGUGUGUUUCGACACACUAUCAUUAACUGAAUCCAUAGGUUAAUGAGGCGAACCGGGGGAACUGAAACAUCUAAGUACCCCGAGGAAAAGAAAUCAACCGAGAUUCCCCCAGUAGCGGCGAGCGAACGGGGAGGAGCCCAGAGCCUGAAUCAGUGUGUGUGUUAGUGGAAGCGUCUGGAAAGGCGCGCGAUACAGGGUGACAGCCCCGUACACAAAAAUGCACAUGCUGUGAGCUCGAUGAGUAGGGCGGGACACGUGGUAUCCUGUCUGAAUAUGGGGGGACCAUCCUCCAAGGCUAAAUACUCCUGACUGACCGAUAGUGAACCAGUACCGUGAGGGAAAGGCGAAAAGAACCCCGGCGAGGGGAGUGAAAAAGAACCUGAAACCGUGUACGUACAAGCAGUGGGAGCACAGAGCAAUCUGUGUGACUGCGUACCUUUUGUAUAAUGGGUCAGCGACUUAUAUUCUGUAGCAAGGUUAACCGAAUAGGGGAGCCGAAGGGAAACCGAGUCUUAACUGGGCGUUAAGUUGCAGGGUGUAGACCCGAAACCCGGUGAUCUAGCCAUGGGCAGGUUGAAGGUUGGGUAACACUAACUGGAGGACCGAACCGACUAAUGUUGAAAAAUUAGCGGAUGACUUGUGGCUGGGGGUGAAAGGCCAAUCAAACCGGGAGAUAGCUGGUUCUCCCCGAAAGCUAUUUAGGUAGCGCCUCGUGAAUUCAUCUCCGGGGGUAGAGCACUGUUUCGGCAAGGGGGUCAUCCCGACUUACCAACCCGAUGCAAACUGCGAAUACCGGAGAAUGUUAUCACGGGAGACACACGGCGGGUGCUAACGUCCGUCGUGAAGAGGGAAACAACCCAGACCGCCAGCUAAGGUCCCAAAGUCAUGGUUAAGUGGGAAACGAUGUGGGAAGGCCCAGACAGCCAGGAUGUUGGCUUAGAAGCAGCCAUCAUUUAAAGAAAGCGUAAUAGCUCACUGGUCGAGUCGGCCUGCGCGGAAGAUGUAACGGGGCUAAACCAUGCACCGAAGCUGCGGCAGCGACACUGUGUGUUGUUGGGCAGGGGAGCGUUCUGUAAGCCUGUGAAGGUGUGCUGUGAGGCAUGCUGGAGGUAUCAGAAGUGCGAAUGCUGACAUAAGUAACGAUAAAGCGGGUGAAAAGCCCGCUCGCCGGAAGACCAAGGGUUCCUGUCCAACGUUAAUCGGGGCAGGGUGAGUCGACCCCUAAGGCGAGGCCGAAAGGCGUAGUCGAUGGGAAACAGGUUAAUAUUCCUGUACUUGGUGUUACUGCGAAGGGGGGACGGAGAAGGCUAUGUUGGCCGGGCGACGGUUGUCCCGGUUUAAGCGUGUAGGCUGGUUUUCCAGGCAAAUCCGGAAAAUCAAGGCUGAGGCGUGAUGACGAGGCACUACGGUGCUGAAGCAACAAAUGCCCUGCUUCCAGGAAAAGCCUCUAAGCAUCAGGUAACAUCAAAUCGUACCCCAAACCGACACAGGUGGUCAGGUAGAGAAUACCAAGGCGCUUGAGAGAACUCGGGUGAAGGAACUAGGCAAAAUGGUGCCGUAACUUCGGGAGAAGGCACGCUGAUAUGUAGGUGAAGUCCCUCGCGGAUGGAGCUGAAAUCAGUCGAAGAUACCAGCUGGCUGCAACUGUUUAUUAAAAACACAGCACUGUGCAAACACGAAAGUGGACGUAUACGGUGUGACGCCUGCCCGGUGCCGGAAGGUUAAUUGAUGGGGUCAGCGCAAGCGAAGCUCUUGAUCGAAGCCCCGGUAAACGGCGGCCGUAACUAUAACGGUCCUAAGGUAGCGAAAUUCCUUGUCGGGUAAGUUCCGACCUGCACGAAUGGCGUAAUGAUGGCCAGGCUGUCUCCACCCGAGACUCAGUGAAAUUGAACUCGCUGUGAAGAUGCAGUGUACCCGCGGCAAGACGGAAAGACCCCGUGAACCUUUACUAUAGCUUGACACUGAACAUUGAGCCUUGAUGUGUAGGAUAGGUGGGAGGCUUUGAAGUGUGGACGCCAGUCUGCAUGGAGCCGACCUUGAAAUACCACCCUUUAAUGUUUGAUGUUCUAACGUGGACCCGUGAUCCGGGUUGCGGACAGUGUCUGGUGGGUAGUUUGACUGGGGCGGUCUCCUCCUAAAGAGUAACGGAGGAGCACGAAGGUUGGCUAAUCCUGGUCGGACAUCAGGAGGUUAGUGCAAUGGCAUAAGCCAGCUUGACUGCGAGCGUGACGGCGCGAGCAGGUGCGAAAGCAGGUCAUAGUGAUCCGGUGGUUCUGAAUGGAAGGGCCAUCGCUCAACGGAUAAAAGGUACUCCGGGGAUAACAGGCUGAUACCGCCCAAGAGUUCAUAUCGACGGCGGUGUUUGGCACCUCGAUGUCGGCUCAUCACAUCCUGGGGCUGAAGUAGGUCCCAAGGGUAUGGCUGUUCGCCAUUUAAAGUGGUACGCGAGCUGGGUUUAGAACGUCGUGAGACAGUUCGGUCCCUAUCUGCCGUGGGCGCUGGAGAACUGAGGGGGGCUGCUCCUAGUACGAGAGGACCGGAGUGGACGCAUCACUGGUGUUCGGGUUGUCAUGCCAAUGGCACUGCCCGGUAGCUAAAUGCGGAAGAGAUAAGUGCUGAAAGCAUCUAAGCACGAAACUUGCCCCGAGAUGAGUUCUCCCUGACCCUUUAAGGGUCCUGAAGGAACGUUGAAGACGACGACGUUGAUAGGCCGGGUGUGUAAGCGCAGCGAUGCGUUGAGCUAACCGGUACUAAUGAACCGUGAGGCUUAACCUU
rnacentral:rRNA from 1 species